rnacentral:rRNA from 1 species
UACAGAGGAUGCAAGCGUUAUCCGGAAUGAUUGGGCGUAAAGCGUCUGUAGGUGGCUUUUUAAGUCCGCCGUCAAAUCCCAGGGCUCAACUCUGGACAGGCGGUGGAAACUGCCAAGCUGGAGUACGGUAGGGGCAGAGGGAAUUUCCGGUGGAGCGGUGAAAUGCGUAGAGAUCGGGAGGAACACCUGUGGCGAAGGCGGCCCCCUGGGCCGGCCCUGACACUGAGACGCGAAGGCGUGGGGAGCGAACGGG